rnacentral:rRNA from 1 species
UGGGGAAUUUUGGACAAUGGGGGAAACCCUGAUCCAGCCAUCCCGCGUGUGCGAUGAAGGCCUUCGGGUUGUAAAGCACUUUUGGCAGGAAAGAAAUCGCGUGUGUUAAUACCAUGCGCGGAUGACGGUACCUGCAGAAUAAGCACCGGCUAACUACGUGCCAGCAGCCGCGGUAAUACGUAGGGUGCAAGCGUUAAUCGGAAUUACUGGGCGUAAAGCGUGCGCAGGCGGUUCGGAAAGAAAGAUGUGAAAUCCCAGGGCUUAACCUUGGAACUGCAUUUUUAACUACCGGGCUAGAGUGUGUCAGAGGGGGUGGAAUUCCGCGUGUAGCAGUGAAAUGCGUAGAGAUGUGGAGGAACACCAGUGGCGAAGGCGACUUUCUGGCCUAUAACUGACGCUGAGGCGCGAAAAGCGUGGGGAGCAAAACAGGAUUAGAUACCC